rnacentral:rRNA from 1 species
GAUGAACGCUGGCGGCGUGCCUAAUACAUGCAAGUCGAGCGAACAGACGAGAAGCUUGCUCCUCUGACGUUAGCGGCGGACGGGUGAGUAACACGUGGAUAACCUACCUAUAAGACUGGGAUAACUUCGUGAAACCGGAGCUAAUACCAGAUAACAUGUUGAACCGCAUGGUUCAACAGUGAAAGACGGUCUUGCUGUCACUUUUAGAUGAAUCCGCGCCACAUUAGCUAGUUGGUAAGGUAACGGCUUACCAAGGCAACGAUGCGUAGCCGACCUGAGAGGGUGAUCGGCCACACUGGAACUGAGACACGGUCCAGACUCCUACGGGAGGCAGAAGUAGGGAAUCUUCCGCAAUGGGCGAAAGCCUGACGGAGCCAUGCCGCGUGAGUGAAGAAGGUCUUCGGAUCGUAAAACUCUGUUAUUAGGGAAGAACAAAUGUGUAAGUAACUAUGCACGUCUUGACGGUACCUAAUCAGAAAGCCACGGCUAACUACGUG